rnacentral:rRNA from 1 species
CAUCCUUGUUGCAAAAAGGUGAGAAGAUUUUAAAGUAGAAGUGACAUGCCUACCGAGCUUAGAAAUAGCUGGUUAUUCAAAAGACGGAUUUAAGUCCAACUUUAAGUUUUAUUAAUUUUACUAAAUAAACCCCAAACUUAAAAGCUAUUCAAAUAGGGUACAGCCUAUCUGAAUAAGGAUACAACCUAUAAUAUAGGGUAAUGUUUAACAACUUGAUUAAGUAGGCCUAAGAACAGCCACCUUCUAAAAAGCGUCCAAGCUUCCCCACUAAACAUUUUUAAUACCACUAUUAAUCCAAAACCCCCAAUCACUACUGAAUGAUCCCAUAACUAUAUGGAAGACAUCAUGCUAGAACUAGUAACAAGAAGACGGACUUCUCCAAAAUGUAAACGUAAGCCUAUAAUAAACCCCUUAC